AACGCACAUGGCGCCUUCCAGUAUCCUGGGAGGCAUGCCUGUCCGAGCGUCGUUUCAACCCUCGAGCCCCCGUGGCCCGGCGUUGGGGAUCUGCCACGGCAGGCCCCGAAAUCCAGUGGCGGACCCGCUGGGCCCUCUCCUUGCGUAGUAGCAUCAGCCUCGCAUCGGGAGCCCGCGUGGCAUCCUGCCCCUAAACCCCCCUCAAGCCCGCCCCGGCGGCACCAAGGUUGACCUCGGAUCAGGUAGGAAUACCCGCUGAACUUAA
rnacentral:misc_RNA from 1 species